UGCCAGCAGCCGCGGUAAUAUAGAGGUGGCAAGCGUUGCUCGGUAUCACUGGGCUUAAAGGGCACGUAGGCGGCGUGGUACGGUUUGGGUGAAAUCCCUCGGCUUAACCGAGGAACUGCCCAGGCUACGGCCAUGCUUGAUGACGUCAGGGGAAGAUGGAACUCCCGGUGGAGCGGUGAAAUGUGUAGAUAUCGGGAGGAACGCCGGUGGCGAAAGCGAUCUUCUGGGGCGUUCAUGACGCUGAGGCGCGAAAGCUAGGGGAGCGAACGGGAUUAGAUA
rnacentral:rRNA from 1 species